CUGCAACCUCCACCUCCCAGGUUCAAGCUAUUCUCCUGCCUCAGCCUUCUGAGUAGCUGGGACUACAGGUGCACACCACAUGCCUGGCUAAUUUUUGUAUUUUUAAUAGAGACUGGAUUUCGCGAUGUUGGCCCGGCUGGUCUCGAACUCCUGGCCUCAAGUGAUCCACCCGCUUUAGCCUCCCAAAGUGCUGGGAUUACAGGCGUGAGCCACUGCACCCGGCCUAUUUUACCACAAUUUAUAAAAAUUUUUGUUUAUUUUAAUUAAGCUAUUCUAUGUUAAAAUAAGUAGCCACCCUUGGCUGAUGCAUAAAGAAAAAAUUAGAGGAAGGAAAGAAUGGAGGCAAGGAGGCAAAUCAUGAGACCAUUUCAGAAAUCAAGACGAAAUCAGGAAAGCUAACAUUAGCAAGAGUGAACCAAACUGAUAAUAUCUUUGAGUUUAAAACUGAAGAAUUUACCAAUGAACUGCAUAGGAAAGUAAAGAAAAGAGAGUGGUCAAGAUAGGUCCUGGUUUUGGGGCCUGAACAUCUGAGUGGUUAGUAGAAUCAUUACCAGUUGAUAACCCAUGGAAGAGGGUGGGGGAUGGGUGGUGUCUUGUAGGUUGGUUGACAGGACUGACCCAUUGGGAAGAUAACGAAGAAGCAAAGUAUAUGAAAAGAGGAGAAAGGGUAACCAGAGGAGGGAGGAUACAAAGGGAGUGAUUAGCCAUCAGAAAGAUGAGGGACAUGACAUUUGUUGAGGCAGAUGGCGGAGAAAAGAAAGUUAACAUAGAUGUGGUUAGUUUUGUGGCAUUGACCAAAGGAAGAUUAAGGUGAUACUAUCUGAUGGCUUGGAAUGAAAACCAAACUCCCUGCCACAACAUGAUGAUCUUUCUCUGCAACUUCAUAUUUUGCCUCUUGUUCCUCAUUUGUUACCACUGAGUCACAAUGGUCUUUUUAGUUUCUCAAACACACCAAGAUCUUUCUUGCCUCAUGUGACCUAGAAUGUUUUCUCCCUUUCUUCAUAUCUCAGUUGAAAGGUCUCCUCUCCUCAUCAUCAUACUAUCUAAAGUAGAUUCCCUCCCUUGUUAACCUCUAGCGCAGCCAUUAGUUCCUUCAUAACACUUACCCUAACUUGCAAGUAUUUUGUUUGUUGAUAUAAUUUUUAUCUGACUUCCCCACUAAAAUGUAAGCUCCAUGAGGGCAAAAAUUGUGUGUUUUGUAUACUGAUGCAUCUCUAGCACUUGGUAUAGCAGGCAUUCAAUAAAUAUCAUUAAAUAAGUUUC
rnacentral:lncRNA from 10 species